UGAUGGAAUCGGAAUUUAGAGCCCUCUGGUCAUCUUCCCCCUAUCAUUUCUCCCCCACUGGGAGUAUGGACCAAAGUUCCUUUUGAAGAGCAUAAGGUGAAAGUUCUGGCUUCUGUAAUUGUUUCUCCACUGGACAUGGAAACUGGCAGGGAUACGAAAGAGAGACCAGAACACUGUUCAACUCUAGCUUAUGGUGAUGUUGAGGAUUGAAUCUGCAACCACAGAGCCUCAGCCACCAAGUUACAGAUGUUACCAUGACGCCAACCUGACUUCCCUGGGUAGAUGACCUCACCAAUGUGUCCUGGAACCCCACCUCCCCAGAGCCCUGCGCCACUAGGGAAAGGUAGAAACAGACUGCCAACAGCCUUGUGCAGCAAAGAAGCAAGUAAAGGAGCCAGACCUCCCACCUUCUGCACCUCAUAUUGAUCCUCAUACUCAAAGAGGGAUAAAGAAUAGAAAAGCUUCCAGUGAAGGGGAUGGGAUAUGAAACUCUGGUGGUGGGGAACUGUAUGGACUUUUACCCCCCUCUUAUUCUACAAUAUUGUUGAUCAUUAUUAAAUCAAUAAUAAUAAAAAAGUAAUGGGGGCUGGGCACAGCGGUUUAAGCCCACAUGGCACAAAGCUCAAGUCCUGGAGUAAGGAUCCCGGUUUGAGCCCCCAGCUCCCCAUCUGCAGGGGGGUUGCUUCGCAAGCAGGUCUGCAGGUGUCUAUCUUUCUCUGCUCCUCUCUGUCUUACCGUCCUAUCUCCAUUUCUCUCUUUGCUAUCCAACACCAACAACAACA